UACGUAGGGUGCGAGCGUUGUCCGGAAUUAUUGGGCGUAAAGCGCGCGCAGGCGGUGAUUUAAGUUUGGUGUUUAAGGCCGGGGCUCAACCCCGGUUCGCACUGAAAACUGGGUCACUGGAGUGCGGGAGAGGAAAGUGGAAUUCCACGUGUAGCGGUGAAAUGCGUAGAGAUGUGGAGGAACACCAGUGGCGAAGGCGACUUUCUGGACCGUAACUGACGCUGAGGCGCGAAAGCGUGGGGAGCAAACAGG
rnacentral:rRNA from 1 species